GCCGCGGUCCGGCCACGGCUCUGCCCCUCCCCCCGCGCCGACGGCGGCGGGCUGGCCGCUUCCUCAGGCCCCCUUCCUCGUGUGAUCGGGAUCGUAGACGUGUGACAUGGACGUGUGAGGCGUGGGCGUCCAUUCGUCGGAGUCACUACAAAUGUUUUCAGAGUAUGUAGAAGGAGUCUCAGGACAUGGACCAACACUCAGAAGAAUGGUCCGCACCGAGACCCGCACGAUGACGACGUUCGAUGACGAGGGCCGACCGGUGACGUGCACGGUGACGGAGCGCACCACCACCGAGGCUGACGGCACCGAGAGUCGCCAGCUGGUGGAGACCGAAGACUAA